rnacentral:piRNA from 1 species
UAAUGGGCUUUUCAGGCAGAAUUUGGGG